GCAGUUCGAGCGGGGUGAUGUAGCUUUGCUACAUUUACCUAGCGGCGGACGGGUGAGUAAUGCUUAGGAAUCUGCCUAUUAGUGGGGGACAACAUUCCCGAAAGGAAUGCUAAUACCGCAUACGCCCUACGGGGGAAAGCAGGGGAUCUUCGGACCUUCGCGCUAAUAGAUGAGCCUAAGUCAGAUUAGCUAGUUGGUGGGGUAAAGGCCUACCAAGGCGACGAUCUGUAGCGGGUCUGAGAGGAUGAUCCGCCACACUGGGACUGAGACACGGCCCAGACUCCUACGGGAGGCAGCAGUGGGGAAUAUUGGACAAUGGGCGAAAGCCUGAUCCAGCCAUGCCGCGUGUGUGAAGAAGGCCUUUUGGUUGUAAAGCACUUUAAGCGAGGAGGAGGCUACUUGGAUUAAUACUCUAGGAUAGUGGACGUUACUCGCAGAAUAAGCACCGGCUAACUCUGUGCCAGCAGCCGCGGUAAUACAGAGGGUGCGAGCGUUAAUCGGAUUUACUGGGCGUAAAGCGUGCGUAGGCGGCUUCUUAAGUCGGAUGUGAAAUCCCUGAGCUUAACUUAGGAAUUGCAUUCGAUACUGGGAAGCUAGAGUAUGGGAGAGGAUGGUAGAAUUCCAGGUGUAGCGGUGAAAUGCGUAGAGAUCUGGAGGAAUACCGA
rnacentral:rRNA from 1 species